GAAGGGUGCCAAGAAUGACCAGUACAAGCUGUCUGUGCUGGACAAGAUUCUACAGAACAUGGGCAAGUCCUCAGGUGACCGCGGGGACCAUGACCGCGGGGACUCCAGCUCCUGGGGGGCCAAGUCCUCAGGUGACCGCGGGGACCCUGGCUCCCUGGGGGGAGAGGCACCAACACAGAGCUCAGGCAGGAGACGAGGGCCAAGCCCACCCUCCCCAGAAGCCCCCGUGUGCAGCUGACCUCAGACCCUGAACUGGGGACCCCGGGCUGGUGGGCGCCUGGCCACCUCAGCCGCCACCUCUCCUGACAGGAAACUUGGUGCAGUGAAUGGCCCGGGGCCCUGAGGACGACCUGCCUCCCCCCCCCCCAAUAAAGAGAAUUGUCACAUU